GGGAACUACGAGCAUAAGCUUAAAACCCAAAGGACUUGGCGGUGCUUUAGACCCCCCUAGAGGAGCCUGUUCUAGAACCGAUAACCCCCGUUUGACCUCACCUUUUCUUGUCCACCCCGCCUAUAUACCGCCGUCGUCAGCAUACCCUGUGAAGGAAACAUAGUAAGCAAAACUGGUAAAACCCAAAACGCCAGGUCGAGGUGUAGCGCACGAAAAGGAAAGAAAUGGGCUACAUUUCCUCACCCAGGAAAUACGAAUUGUGCCAUGAAACAGCACAUGAAGGAGGAUUUAGCAGUAAGCAGAAAACAGAGCGUUCCGCUGAACCUGGCCCUGAAGCGCGCACACACCGCCCGUGACUCUCCCCAAGUCUAAAGACAAUAAUAAUUAAAACCCCACAAAGACAAAGGGGAGGCAAGUCGUAACAUGGUAGGUGUACCGGAAGGUGCGCUUGGAAAAAC
rnacentral:rRNA from 1 species